UUAUUUUUAAAUAUUCUCUAAUAAAAAUUUAAAUCUGUUCUUAUCAGUUUAAUAUCUGAUAUGUUCUCGAUGUGAGAACUUUAUAUGAAACGGAUUUUUGGAACAGGGAGUUGGAUUAGGAGCUUGCUCCAUCCACUCCAUGCAUCAACCUGGUAUUGCAGUAUUUCCAGGUAUGGUGCGCCUCCC